GGUACACGCUGUGACUAGCAUAUCAAUAAGCGGAGGAAAAGAAACUAACAAGGAUUCCCCUAGUAACGGCGAGUGAAGCGGGAAGAGCUCAAAUUUGAAAUCUUAAAGGGUUUCCCUUUACGAAUUGUAGUUUAAAGAAGUGUUUUCUGUUGAGGUUUUGGUAAAAGUUCUUUGGAAUAGGACAUCAUAGAGGGUGAGAAUCCCGUAUUUGACCUUUACUUUCAACUUUGUGAUACACUUUCAAAGAGUCGGAUUGUUUGGGAAUGCAGUCCAAAAUGGGUGGUAAAUUUCAUCUAAAGCUAAAUAUUGGCGAGAGACCGAUAGCGAACAAGUACCGUGAGGGAAAGAUGAAAAGAACUUUGAAAAGAGAGUUAAACAGUACGUGAAAUUGUCAAAAGGGAAGCGUUUGACACCAGUGUUGUUUUUCUGAAAAUCAAUUAAGGAACUGUUUAUGCUAAGCUGUUUAGACUUUAUCAGCUAAUCUGUUUAGUUUUGAGCUUUUCUUUAAUGCACUUUUCAGUUAACAAGUCAACAUCAAUUUCUUUUGCUGUAAAAAAGCUUGAGGAAGGUGGCUUGAGAUUCGUCUUAAGUGUUUAUAGCCUCUUGCCUAUGCAGUCGGAGAGAUUGAGGUCUGCAGCGUAGAUCCUUCGGGGCUAAAUGCAUUUGUGCUAAGUUAUAGCAUUUUAUAGACAACUUGUUGACUAUGAUUUGUCUUGUAGCUUACUCGCUUAUGUUAUUUUACCUACGCUUAGGAUGUUGAAGAUGUAGCACAUCAU
rnacentral:rRNA from 1 species